AGGAGCUCUUGGCAGCUUGCCUGCUGCUUCCAUUGCGGGCCAGCAGAACAAGCAGGAGAGACAGCGAAGAGGGCAAGUGGCUGAGAGGCUAUGGGGCUGGGCAGGGGGCAAUGGGGAGUCACAUGAGGUGCCCCUCCAGGUAGUGGGGCUCCCAGACAACUGUCUCCCCUUGCCCGAUCGUUGUUACGCGCCUGCCAGAAGUGAGGCAGCUACAAAGAAUCCAGAUUGUAACUCCAAAUGCCCUUUCUGUACAUGCGGCCACACUGAAGAAGUCCACAACACUUACCAGCAGCAGCUAAAGCCCCAAAGACAUACGGCCUGUUCAGAUGAACGUUCGCCUGCCGCCCCUUUUACACGCAAUGGUUGGAGCCCUGUCAUGAACGCACCCAUCCUAAUGUCAUUCAAGGAAGUGCCAAUGCAUUCUCGGCACAUCCUUUAAUCUUACACGAGGGAGUGAUAAUCCAAAACAUCUCUCUUCAUGGGCUGCAAAACCCUGGGUUUCAUCAAAGAUAAAUUUCCAGGAUUCUCUGAGGGCCUGCUUUGAAUUAGAGAUGCUGUACUUGGCUGGCCACCCAGUGAGUGUGUUUACAAGAAUAUAUGCAGUUGCCAAGUUACAACUAGAACACCACCCAAUUCAGCAAUAUUACCCACUUUAAGUAAAACUUUAUUUUGUUUAAAA